AGUGAACGCUGGCGGUAUGCCUAACACAUGCAAGUCGAACGGCAGCACAGUAAGAGCUUGCUCUUACGGGUGGCGAGUGGCGGACGGGUGAGGAAUACAUCGGAAUCUACUUUUUCUUGGGGGAUAACGUAGGGAAACUUACGCUAAUACCGCAUACGACCUACGGGUGAAAGCAGGGGAUCUUCGGACCUUGCGCGAUUGAAUUAGCCGAUGUCGGAUUAGCUAGUUGGCGGGGUAAAGGCCCACCAAGGCGACGAUCCGUAGCUGGUCUGAGAGGAUGAUCAGCCAAACUGGAACUGAGACACGGUCCAGACUCCUACGGGAGGCAGCAGUGGGGAAUAUUGGACAAUGGGCGCAAGCCUGAUCCAGCCAUACCGCGUGGGUGAAGAAGGCCUUCGGGUUGUAAAGCCCUUUUGUUGGGAAAGAAAAGCAGCAGGUUAAUACCCCGCUGUUCUGACGGUACCCAAAGAAUAAGCACCGGCUAACUUCGUG
rnacentral:rRNA from 1 species